GAUCAAGCGCAAUAAGGGCGUUUGGUGGAUGCCUUGGCAGCAAGAGGCGAUGAAGGACGUGAUACUCUGCGAUAAGCGAUGGGGAGCCGAGAAUAGGCCUUGAUCCAUCGAUCUCCGAAUGGGGCAACCCACCUGAUUGUCUGCUGAUAUUGCUUCCGCUCCGGCGGAGGCGGCUAUCAGUGGGCAAGAACAGGUACUUUCGACCUGAAUAUAUAGGGUCAAAAGAGCGAACCCGGGGAACUGAAACAUCUAAGUACCCGGAGGAAAGGACAUCAAAAGAUACUCCCCCAGUAGUGGCGAGCGAACGGGGACCAGCCGAGGCGUGAGAGUGAGAAGAACUGUCUGGAAAGGCAGGCCAUAGCGGGUGACAGCCCCGUAUUCGAAGCUCGAUCGCACGUAUUAAGUAGGGCGGGACACGUGAAAUCCUGUCUGAAGAUCGGGGGACCACCCUCGAAGGCUAAGUACUCCUUGCUGACCGAUAGCGAACCAGUACCGUGAGGGAAAGGUGAAAAGCACCCCGACGAGGGGAGUGAAACAGUCCCUGAAACCGGACGCCUACAAGCAGUCGGAGCCCCCUUGAGGGGUGACGGCGUACCUUUUGUAUAAUGGGUCAUCGACUUGGUGUUACGAGCAAGCUUAAGCCGUUAGGUGUAGGCGCAGCGAAAGCGAGUCUUAAAUGGGCGCAUGAGUUCGUGGCAUCAGACCCGAAACCGAGUGAUCUAGGCAUGUCCAGGAUGAAGGUGCGGUAACACGCACUGGAGGUCCGAACCCACACCUGUUGAAAAAGGUCGGGAUGAGGUGUGCCUAGGGGUGAAAGGCCAAUCAAACUCGGAGAUAGCUGGUUCUCUGCGAAAGCUAUUUAGGUAGCGCGUCGGACGAAUACCCUCGGGGGUAGAGCACUGCAUGGGUAAUGGGGGCCCACAGCCUUACUGAUCCUAAGCAAACUCCGAAUACCGAGGAGUACUAUCCGGCAGACACACGGCGGGUGCUAACGUCCGUCGUGGAGAGGGAAACAACCCUGACCUACAGCUAAGGCCCCUAAUUCGUGGCUAAGUGGGAAAGCAGGUGGGACGACCAAAACAACCAGGAGGUUGGCUUAGAAGCAGCCAUCCUUUAAAGAUAGCGUAACAGCUCACUGGUCUAAACAAGUUGUCCUGCGGCGAAGAUGUAACGGGGCUCAAGCCACGAGCCGAAGCUUAGGGUGUGCACUUCGGUGCACGCGGUAGCAGAGCGUAGUGUGACAUAGAGCUUUGCUUGUUUACUGCCUGACCUACGAAAGGCGCGGUCAAACGCGCUCAAGUAGCCUCAAGGCGGUAGCGCAAGCAUCAGCUCUUUCUGUGAAGCCGGGCUGUGAGGCAUCCGGUGGAGAGAUCACUAGCGAGAAUGAUGACAUGAGUAGCGACAAGGAGGGUGAGAGACCCUCCCGCCGAAAGUCCAAGGGUUCCUGCUUAAAGCUAAUCUGAGCAGGGUGAGCCGACCCCUAAGGCGAGGCCGAAAGGCGUAGUCGAUGGGAACCGGGUUAAUAUUCCCGGGCCAGGAGGAUGUGACGGAUCGCAAGCGUAGUGAGGCCUUAUCGGAUUGGUCUUGCUGCUAAGCGGUUCCUGGAAAUAGCCCUCCGUUAGAUCGUACCCUAAACCGACACAGGUGGACUGGUAGAGAAUACCAAGGCGCUUGAGAGAACGAUGUUGAAGGAACUCGGCAAAAUACCUCCGUAAGUUCGCGAGAAGGAGGCCCGGUUUUUGCGCAAGCAGAGGCCGGGGGCACAAACCAGGGGGUGGCGACUGUUUACUAAAAACACAGGGCUCUGCGAAGCCGCAAGGCGACGUAUAGGGUCUGACGCCUGCCCGGUGCCGGAAGGUUAAAAGGAGGGGUGCAAGCUCCGAAUUGAAGCCCCGGUAAACGGCGGCCGUAACUAUAACGGUCCUAAGGUAGCGAAAUUCCUUGUCGGGUAAGUUCCGACCUGCACGAAUGGCGUAACGACUUCCCCGCUGUCUCCAACAUCGACUCAGCGAAAUUGAAUUGCCGGUCAAGAUGCCGGCUUCCCGCGGUUAGACGGAAAGACCCCGUGCACCUUUACUACAGCUUCAGACUGGCAACAGGACUGGGAUGUGCAGGAUAGGUGGUAGGCAUCGAAGCCGGGACGCCAGUCUCGGUGGAGCCUCCCUUGAGAUACCACCCUUCGCAUUCUUGUUGUCUAACCGCGGACCGUCAUCCGGUUCCGGGACCCUCUGUGGCGGGUAGUUUGACUGGGGCGGUCGCCUCCCAAACAGUAACGGAGGCGCGCGAAGGUUGGCUCAGAGCGGUCGGAAAUCGCUCGUUGAGUGCAAUGGCAUAAGCCAGCCUGACUGCAAGACUGACAAGUCGAGCAGAGACGAAAGUCGGCCAUAGUGAUCCGGUGGUCCCGAGUGGAAGGGCCAUCGCUCAACGGAUAAAAGGUACGCCGGGGAUAACAGGCUGAUACUGCCCAAGAGUCCAUAUCGACGGCAGUGUUUGGCACCUCGAUGUCGGCUCAUCUCAUCCUGGGGCUGGAGCAGGUCCCAAGGGUAUGGCUGUUCGCCAUUUAAAGAGGUACGUGAGCUGGGUUUAGAACGUCGUGAGACAGUUCGGUCCCUAUCUGCCGUGGGUGUAGGAUACUUGAGAGGAGUUGCCCCUAGUACGAGAGGACCGGGGUGAACGGACCACUGGUGGACCUGUUGUCGUGCCAACGGCAGUGCAGGGUAGCUAUGUCCGGACAGGAUAACCGCUGAAGGCAUCUAAGCGGGAAGCCCCCCUCAAAACAAGGUAUCCCUCGAGGACCGUGGAAGACCACCACGUCGAUAGGCCGGAGAUGUAAGCGCAGCAAUGCGCUCAGUUGACCGGUACUAAUCGUCCGAUAGGCUUGACCCG
rfam:Wenxinia marina DSM 24838 genomic scaffold scaffold_WENXMA_1, whole genome shotgun sequence.